GACUACGCCGUGAGCAUAAUUGCGCUUCCCGUUGUGUCGUCGGCUUCCCUGGGACGGACCCUACGGAGGGCAGCAGGCCACCCUGAAGAAAGCAGAGCUCCAGGGACCCCCAGAUAAAUUCAACACUUAUGUAACACUGAAGGUGCAAAAUGUCAAGAGCACCACGGUUGCUGUUCGUGGGGCCCGGCCGUCUUGGGAGCAGGACUUCCUCUUGUAAGUGA